UCCCGUGUGGCUCAGCUGGUAGAGCAUGGCACUUACAACGCCAGAGUUGUAGGGUUCGAUUCGCAUGCGGGAC
rnacentral:tRNA from 1 species